AACUAAACGACGUUGCAGACUUGCAGUCACCAUCUCUUUGCUGCUUCUUCGAUUCAGAAACGAGAUCCCAAUCGCCUCUCACUAUCUCAUCUCUCGCUGACGACGAACCAAAUUGCCUCUCACCGUCACAACGAACGCAAUCGUCUCCCACCCUCUCAAUCUCUCAUCUCGCUGACGGCGAACUCAUCUGGUUCAUCGGGGAAGUAACAGUCAUCACUCACGGUCACAGAUCUUUUCUUUUGGUUCUCAUCGUCUGCAGAUCAUACCAAAGAAAAGAUCCUACGGUCACAACAAGCCAUCACUCACGGUCACAAUCCAGCAAGCAUACCAUUUUGUAAACAGGCUGCAGCAUGGACUCACAAACAAUACAAAGAAUGGCUGUUCUUGAGGCAGAAAACGAAUUGAUGGAUUUGGAGUAUAAUGAAGAUGAAGACUCCCAUGAAGAGGAACAUGAUCAAUGAACCUGCUCAGUCAACACAUACUCAACGUCCAAAGAGAUACACACGAUCUCCACGAUCCCCACGAGCUCCACGAUCUCCACGAUCUCCACGAGCUUCACGAUCUCCACGAGCUCCACAAGCUUCACGAGCUUCACGAUCUUCACUAGCUCCACAAGCUCCAAGAGCUAAACGGCCUACACAGAGAAGCACGGAGUCACGGAAGGGAGAUGGAGGCGCUGAAGAGAAACGAAGGCCCGCUGCAAAGAAGCGGAGGCACAGCAAAUGAGCGGAGGUGCGUCUUUGGUUUCUCAGAUCCAAAAGAAAGUUCGACGACAUCACCAACAAAUAAGAGAGAAAAAACGGCAAGAUGAUCUGUCGCCUCAGACAUGGUAAAAGAGGAAGACGAGAUUCAAAUUUUGAAUAUGUGGUGAAAAGGUGGAUUGGGAAAAAUCCUCUGUAACUCCUUGAGAACAUUGUCUGAGAGCGUUUUACAUUUUUUUUCUUUUUGAUUUUUUUAGACAAAAGAAAUUCUUAACCAAAUCUUUUUAAUAUUUUUUAAAAUCCUUCAAACAACUAUAAUUGUCGUCUAUAAAUUGACCUGAACAUAGCUUACGGACACUAAAGUAAUUUGCUUUGACACAGAGAAAAACAAACCCCCCCACAAUAUUUUUUUUUUGGUAAAAAUCACCCACACAAUAUUUUUGUUUUAGGUAUUUUGCUAAUUUCAAUUUUUUUGAGGAUUUUGACCUAAUUAACUCAAAUAAUAAUCACAAGUCUCCUCAAGAGCUUAUCUAUUCAUCUCCUCCCUUGGUUGGUUCUGUGAUUGAGACAAUUCGAGAGAAAAUAUUUGUUGAUGUGAGGGGAGGAAAGUUCAAAUGGAUAAAGUGAAGAUGAUAUGUUUCUAGGGUUUUCAUGCGAGAAUAACUUGAAAAUGAAGACAACUCCGAAGCUUCUACUUCUUCUUCUUGGGAAUUAGGAUAUCUCAGAACAGCCAUAACACUUUCAGUGAUAAUCAAACAUUGCAAAGAGAGGAAGCGAAAAUAGCAGCUUGGGAAAAUCUGCAUAAGGAAAAUCAACAAGGCCAACAAUCAAGGAUGUGAUUUACAAAUAAAUCUUCAACAAUCUUCGAGAUAAAUAAACUUAUAUUUUCAUGCU